AAAUGGUGAAACACGAUAAGUUUAAGGGCUGGUGUCAGAAGAGAGCAGAGUGUUGGAGUGAGGCUUGGGUGGUGGAAAUGUGGUGGAAUAAUGGGGGCUGAGAAGGGAGGGAGGUGUGAGAGUAAGUAUAAGGGUGGUGGUAGGAGAAGUAUGGAGAGAAGGCAGGUACAGGAUACUGAGUUGGAUGAUCAGCCAUGAUCAUAUUGAAUGGCGGUGCAGGCUCGAAGGACCGAAUGGCCUACUCCUGCACCUAUUUUCUAUAUUUCCAAGUAGCUUGGUUGGAAUAGGGGGAAUAGCAGGAACCCGUGGUAUCAUUACUGAGGUUCCCUGUUGGAAGGGCGGUGAGCAGUAGAACCCAGGGGAGUCAGCAGGGGAGUUGGUCCGUGAUGUGGUUGGAGCCAGCAUUGUGGGGGCACAUGGCCUGGAACCUAGGUGAGUCGACGGCUCUGGGCUACUGGCAGCCGGGGGAGAGGUGAAGAUCUCUGCCUGGACCAUGGGUGGCCGGAGUGCAGGUAAGGAUUGGUGGUGGCGUUGACAGGCCCAGCCUGGGAGCAGCUGUGCGUCGGCACCAGUAGGCUCGGCCUGGAAGGAUGUUAAUGGGUGAGGCAGCAUCUAAAUGAACCAUACAUUCAUUAUGCCAGCAUUUUUGUCCACCUUCGAUUUUCCAGCAUCUGUAGUUCCUUCUUAAACAGGAUGUUAAUAGUCCUUGAUUAUGUUGGCUGCUUUCCCAAGGCAAAUUUUUGUGUGCAUUAAACCAGCUCAUCGGUGAUUCCAGGAUAAUGGGCAUAAUGAGUGUGGGCAUAAUGAGUGUGAAUUAUACAAGAGUCACAUCAAGAGAUAAUAUCACUCUUUGAAUUCUUCAUUAAAGAGACUGCAAGUAUGGUCAAUGCAACCAGAACAACAGUGUUUGCUGGUCUGUCAAGUCCUAAUGAUCUGCCCAUCAUUUAUUUUGGGUAUAGGGCUCAAAUGUAUAUAGUUUGUGGAAGAUUAUGGUUCAUGUGCAUUGAUGCCACAAUUGUACAGAAGAGUAACGUGAAACUUCAAACCACUUAAAUACUUCAGAAAUAAAAUAUUUAUUGAAAGCCGCAAAAUCAAAGGUUGCUAAUUAAGUUGAUCUUCGGAGGUCAAUCACUCGCAAGAUAUGUACGCAUUGUUUAACUGAAUGAAAACCUGUUGCUACAUUGCCUGAGACUGGCUCAAACUAUGAUCCCCAGUCCAAGGCCCAUCGGUGUCUUGAAUUCAUCUCUUCCUUAGUAAUUUCUGUCGCCAUUAGUGCCAGUAUAUGGAAAUCAUUUACUAUUUAUGUCAGUGUUGGAGCCCUUUAUGUGAAGUUGCCAAACUCUCCAACUGGUGUGACAAUUGGUUCCCCAUUUACUUCUUGUACAACCGUGCCACUUAAUAUACAGCUGCCAAUUCCAGUGGCCAAGCACGCCCCCAUGAGGACUGGAGCCAUAAUGCAGGGAGCUUUUGUUCUGGUGGCCAUGUCAAUCAGUGAGCCCAUCUUCAAACAUUCUCAUUUCAGCAGCAUUGUUUGCUGCAUGAGACAAGAAUGAUCCCAGGAAUGAGUAGGUUAACACAUGAUGAGCGUUUGUGGGCACUGGGCCUGUACUUGUUGGAGUUUAGAAGAAUGGUGAAAGAACAUACAGAAUAGUGAAAGGCUUGGAUAGAGUGGAUGUGGAGAGUCUAGGACUGGCGGGAGAGUCUAGGACUAGAGGUCAUAACCCCAGAAUUAAAGGAUGUUCUUUUAGGAAUUAGAUAAGGAGAAAUUUAUUUUGUCUGAGGGUGGUGAAUCUGUGGAAUUCUUUGCCACAGAAGGCUAUGUAGACCAAAGAUCGUAGAGGGACAAGAUAGACCACUCCUCGAAAAACGCGUAGUAUGACGUGUGUGACCGUCGACGCCAUAUUGUUAAGCAUUUAUUGGGCUGUAAUGGCGUCCUCAGCUAAAUCUUCAUCUCACUGCUCCGCUAUCAAUUGUUCUAAUCGUAAAUCUAAACGACCCGACCUGUCAUUCUUUAGGUUCCCCAAUAAAAAAGAAAGAUGUCAACAGUGGGUCCAGAAUACUCAUCGACAAGAUCUCCUGCACCGAACUGCAGAGUAUUUGUCAAAAUAACUGCCGUCUUAUGUACAUUGUGUGAAAUUGUGAUUUGUUAACUGCACAAAACUAAUGCAAAUGGCGAUACAUGCCUGCAUUUGGCCCAUACCCCUCUAAACCUGUCCUAACCAUCAAAUAACCUAACAGAACUGUCAUGAGGAAAGAUUUAAAAGACUAGGCUUGUAUUCACUGGAGUUUAGAAGGAUGAGGGGGGAUCUUAUCAUAUUGUUUACAGUGUACUAUGUUUACAGAUUCUGUUGUGCUGCUGAAAGUAAGAAUUUAAUUGUUCUAUCUGGGACAAGCUAGAUGCAGGAAAAUUGUUCUACAUGACAAUAAAACCCUCUUGUUAGAUGCAAGGGGAUCUUAUAGAAACAUCUAAAUGAAUAAAAGGACUGAACAAGCUAGAUACAGGAAAAAUGUUCCCAAUGUUGGGCGAGUCCAGAACCAGGGGCCACAGUCUUAGAACAAAGGGGAGGCCAUUUAAGACUGAGGUGAGAAAAAACUUUUUCACCCAGAGAGUUGUGAAUUUGUGGAAUUCCCUGCCACAGAGGGCAGUGGAGGCCAAAUCACUGGGUGGAUUUAAGAGAGAGUUAGAUAGAUCUCUAGGGGCUAGUGGAAUCAAGGGGUAUGGGGAGAAGGCAGGCAUGGGUUAUCGAUUGGGGCUGAUCAGCCAUGAUCACAAUGAAUGGCGGUGUUGGGUCGAAGUGCCAAAUGGCCUCCUCCUGCACCUAUUUCUAUAUUUCUAAAACACUCAUCCAGCAAUCCUCGAGCCCACCAGCUCAUCCCGUAGUCAAUUCAUCAGCUUUUCCAUAAGAACUUCCAUCAGUUCUUGCAAAAGAAUGACAAUCAGCCAAUCUCGAUUACCCUCAGCCCAUCAAGCAGUCCCUUAAUUCGCACAGAAGUCUGAACUAUUGAAUGCUCACUGCAUCUCUUUCCAUGUCAGCAAGUUAAUAUCCAGCUGCAUAUGAACCAUGUGAAAAAUGAAUAAAUAGAUGCAUGUGGUGCAGUGAUUUGUGCAACACUAUAGGCCUGGAGACCAAGAGGAGUUCACCAUUGAACGGAGUUUGAACGGGGGGCUUGAGGCCCCCGACCGAGGAAGAACAAAAGGAAGGGACUUGAACUUUAUUUCGCCUUCCAUCACAGUGAGGAAUGUGUAGGAGUCACUUUGGUGAAUGUCCGUAUUAAAAUGUGUUUUUGAGUGCUGUUGCUUUUAAUUGUAUGACUGACCUGGCCAAUUAAAUUCCUCGUAUAUUGCAAAACAUACUUGGAAAAUAAAAUCUGAUUAUGAUUCUGAAAA